rnacentral:rRNA from 1 species
AUUGAACGCUGGCGGCAGGCCUAACACAUGCAAGUCGAACGAGGGGCGGACGGGUGAGUAAUGUCUGGGAAACGGCCUGAUGGAGGGGGAUAACUACUGGAAACGGGAGCUAAUACCGCAUAACAUCAGAUGUGCCCAGAUGGGAUUAGCUAGUUGGUGGGGUAACGGCUCACCAAGGCGACGAUCCCUAGCUGGUCUGAGAGGAUGACCAGCCACACGGGAACUGAGACACGGUCCAGACUCCUACGGGAGGCAGCAGUGGGGAAUAUUGCACCAUGGGCGCAAGCCUGAUGCAGCCAUGCCGCGUGUAUGAAGAAGGCCUUCGGGUUGUAAAGUACUUUCAGCGGGGAGGCGUUACCCGCAGAAGAAGCACCGGCUAACUCCGUGCCAGCAGCCGCGGUAAUUC